GUCACGCUCUUAUCGAAAUAUCAAAAAAUAAUCGAUAACAUUGAAAAGACGGUUAACAGACAAAAAUGGGUUAUCAAAAAAAGAAAAAUCCCUUUCUUCAAACAGCUUAAUUUAGGAGAUGUUGAAAUAAAGUUUAUUUAUUUUAUUUUGCCA